ACAAACCUAGAGAAAACCAGAUUACCAGGGAUAAAUCACUAAUUCUUAUAGAGGUCGAGUAACACACAAACCUAGAGAAAACCAGAUUACCAGGGAUAAAUCACUAAUUCUUAUAGAGGUCCAGUAACACACAAACCUAGAGAAAACCAGAUUACCAGGGAUAAAUCACUAAUUCUUAUAGAGGUCGAGUAACACACAAACCUAGAGAAAACCAGAUUAACAGGGAUAAAUCACUAAUUCUUAUAGAGGUCGAGUAACACACAAACCUAGAGAAAA